rnacentral:lncRNA from 1 species
UUAUCACCCACAACUUCAUCACCAAACUAAAGAUAUCGUGAACUCUAACGCUGAUACACAACAUUCAUCCACAACUGAUAAUCAAUCACCAUCCACCACUCAAGCUGAUGAUACACCUCGACGAUCCUCACGUGCUACUCGACGACCUACUAGAUUAGAUGAUUAUGUUUGUACUGCUAUUGGUUCCAAUCCAUCCCAAACAUCAUUGGCACAUUCAACACCCACUUUGUCAGGUAAACCUCAAU